CAAAUUAUCUUAUAAGUUAAGAAUUUCAUUUACGCUGAAAUGACUGUCGUGCAAUUCGAUAUAAUUUGA
rnacentral:tRNA from 1 species